rnacentral:rRNA from 1 species
UUUAAUUCGAAGCAACGCGCAGAACCUUACCAUCCUUUGACAUGGCGUGUUACCCAGAGAGAUUUGGGGUCCCCUUCGGGGGCGCGCACACAGGUGCUGCAUGGCUGUCGUCAGCUCGUGUCGUGAGAUGUUGGGUUAAGUCCCGCAACGAGCGCAACCCACGUCCUUAGUUGCCAUCAUUCAGUUGGGCACUCUAGGGAGACUGCCGGUGAUAAGCCGCGAGGAAGGUGUGGAUGACGUCAAGUCCUCAUGGCCCUUACGGGAUGGGCUACACACGUGCUACAAUGGCGGUGACAGUGGGACGCGAAGGAGCGAUCUGGAGCAAAUCCCCAAAAGCCGUCUCAGUUCGGAUUGCACUCUGCAACUCGAGUGCAUGAAGGCGGAAUCGCUAGUAAUCGUGGAUCAGCAUGCCA